GACGAACGCUGGCGGCGUGCUUAACACAUGCAAGUCGAACGCUGAAGACCUGGCUUUUGUUGGGUUGGAUGAGUGGCGAACGGGUGAGUAACACGUGAGUAACCUGCCCUCUUCUUUGGGAUAACGCCCGGAAACGGGUGCUAAUACUGGAUAUUCACUGGCCUUCGCAUGGGGGUUGGUGGAAAGGUUUGUUCUGGUGGGGGAUGGGCUCGCGGCCUAUCAGCUUGUUGGUGGGGUGAUGGCCUACCAAGGCUUUGACGGGUAGCCGGCCUGAGAGGGUGACCGGUCACAUUGGGACUGAGAUACGGCCCAGACUCCUACGGGAGGCAGCAGUGGGGAAUAUUGCACAAUGGGCGAAAGCCUGAUGCAGCGACGCCGCGUGAGGGAUGGAGGCCUUCGGGUUGUAAACCUCUUUCGCUCAUGGUCAAGCCGCUACUGUGGGUUGUGGUGAGGGUAGUGGGUAAAGAAGCGCCGGCUAACUACGUG
rnacentral:rRNA from 1 species